AACGUAGGUUCCGAGCGUUAUCCGGAUUUACUGGGCGUAAAGCGCGUUCAGGCGGUUUGGCAAGUCGGGCAUGAAAUCUCUCGGCUCAACCGGGAGAGGUUGUCCGAUACUGCUGGACUUGAGGGCAGUAGAGGGUGGUGGAAUUCCGGGUGUAGUAGUGAAAUGCGUAGAUAUCCGGAGGAACACCAGUGGCGAAAGCGGCCACCUGGACUGCACCUGACGCUGACACGCGAAAGCUAGGGGAGCGAACGGG
rnacentral:rRNA from 1 species